rnacentral:rRNA from 1 species
CGGCGGACGGGUGAGUAACACGUGGGUAACCUACCUAUAAGACUGGGACAACUUCGGGAAACCGGAGCUAAUACCGGAUAAGAUAUCGAACCGCAUGGUUCGAUAGUGAAAGAUGGUUUUGCUAUCACUUAUAGAUGGACCCGCGCCGUAUUAGCUAGUUGGUGAGGUAACGGCUCACCAAGGCAACGAUACGUAGCCGACCUGAGAGGGUGAUCGGCCACACUGGAACUGAGACACGGUCCAGACUCCUACGGGAGGCAGCAGNU